ACAGUAAGGAGUUUUUCUGGUAUGAUGGCCAGAUGAGGAAGACUCAUCGAGAGUGGGCUGUCGUGAUUAGGGGGUGUCCCUGGAAGUCGUGUGAAAUAUACCUUGUCACAAUUUUAAUUUCUCGUGUUUAUCAAGGGUCGUAAGACAAGAGUACGCGGUGAAAAGAAAUCUUCAAUACACUAUUUGAUCCUUUGAGCCGGAUCCUUGAUUGUCGAGAUUCGUCCAAAUUUCCAAACCUGGACAAGAGUGAACACAGUUCCAAAUUCCAACCGUGGGACUCUUAGUGACAUAACAAGAUGGCAAACUUCCAAGAAAGUUCGCCGUUCGACCCAAAAGGACGCAAGGUGGACAUAGCGUGAAAGAAAAAGCAAUCUAUUACUAGCCAAAUUGCGAAUCUGGAGAGGGAACUAGCAACUGUUCCAGCAGUAUCGCGAACGGAGUUAAGAGUCCUUGCAGAUCGAUUGAAAUCAACUUUGGAUGAAUUGUUUUCAUUGAUGACCACUUUCCUCGGCAAUGUGAGAGAAGAAGAGGAACGUGAGGAACAUGUCGAAGCGAGAGCCGCGGAACAAAGCACGAUCUUUGGAAGUAAAGAACGAAAUGCUCCGCAAUAUCGGGCAGAAGAACGUUUACGCCUCCAGGAAACAAGAAAUGCAAACACCUGGGCGGUUGAGAUUGCCAUGAUUAACUUGGAACGAGCCGUUGAUGGAGAGAGAAGAUCUUAAGCCCAAUUAGAGGAAUUACUGUUGGGAAGUCGAGUUGAGGAUUUCGACGAAGAAGAGAUGCCCCCAAACGAACCUCAGACAGAUGGGAGGAGAUGUGUCGGCCCCUGCCAAUCCCUGGACGUUCUAACGUGAUCCCAAACGAUCAUCUUGAACGACAAGGACGAGUUGUCGAUCGUGAAGGUUAUCAACAGCAUUGGGCCGAGGUUUACAGAGUGGAACAAUGUGUUCCAAGCUAUGGUCCAUGACACGGCAAGAAAUACCCAAGAGAAGAUGGGACUUCUUAAAGCAUCAUUGGGCGUGAAACCAAGAGCCUUUCUUGUAGGGUACGAUAAUUCUGACUACGAUUACUUUAAUGCCUUGAAAGCCCUUCGUCAAGUUUAUGGUGACCAAGACUUGGUAAUGGAUGCCCAUCAACGAACCCGCAAGAAGUUGAGCGAUGUCAAAUCAGGAGAUGCGGAGAGUCUGGCCGAUUUUGCGGCCAAAGUUCAAGGUCAUCUGUUCACCAUCAAGAAGCAUUGUCCGACCGGAGAUGUUUCUCUUGUAUACAUCGUAAGAAUACUUGAGGGAGACCGAAUUUUGUGCGUGGCUCCUCCGUGCAGUCCAUAGGGAGAAUCGACAAGGAACAUCAAUGCAAUAAAUGGGAUCAACAGCCAACCAACCCAAGAAGCUCACAUUCUCAGCUUCAAAUAAUGUGACAACUAAGGUUUUUUAAAGAGUUGUCUCUUGUAGAGGGCCUGUGUUUCCGAUCGCUUGAAAAAGGCCAUGCUCAGUCAGAAUGUCGAUCUAGAGUCAG